UGGGGAAUCUUGGACAAUGGGGGCAACCCUGAUCCAGCCAUGCCGCGUGAGUGAUGAAGGCCUUAGGGUCGUAAAGCUCUUUCGCCUGUGAAGAUAAUGACGGUAGCAGGUAAAGAAACCCCGGCUAACUCCGUGCCAGCAGCCGCGGUAAUACGGAGGGGGUUAGCGUUGUUCGGAAUUAUUGGGCGUAAAGCGCACGUAGGCGGACCAGAAAGUUGGGGUGAAAUCCCGGGGCUCAACCCCGGAACUGCCUCCAAAACUAUUGGUCUAGAGUUCGAGAGAGGUGAGUGGAAUUCCAAGUGUAGAGGUGAAAUUCGUAGAUAUUUGGAGGAACACCAGUGGCGAAGGCGGCUCACUGGCUCGAUACUGACGCUGAGGUGCGAAAGUGUGGGGAGCAAACAGGAUUAGAUACCCUGGUAGUCCACACCGUAAAACGAUGAAUGCCAGUCGUCGGGUAGCAUGCUAUUCGGUGACACACCUAACGGAUUAAGCAUUCC
rnacentral:rRNA from 1 species